CACGUCCCGCCUCCCGCCAUCCUGAGGGUGGGGGGCAGAGGGAAGGGUCUCGGAUGGGCAGCGAGAGGUACCAGUGUGCCUUGCCAGCACAGGACUGCCCCCUCCUGGUCAGUCAGAGCCCCGGGGCCUGAGAGGCUCAGUCUCCCACGGGGGACAUUGGCCUCGCCCUUUCUCUGCCUCCAGCUCCCAUGGCGGCUGCAGAUGGCAGUGUCUUUGGGGACAGCAGCUGCGACUGAGUCUGCAGGCCGACGCUGAGCUGCUCAGGCUGAGGUGGUGCGCUCAGCACAGAGCCCCCGGAACAGGCAUCUGCAGGGCAUGAGCUGAGGCCGCCGCCAUGCCGCACUUCCUGGACUGGUUCGUGCCCGUCUACCUGGUCAUCUCGGUGCUCAUCCUGGUGGGCUUCGGCGCCUGCAUCUACUACUUCGAGCCUGGCCUGCAGGAGGCGCACAAGUGGCGCAUGCAGCGCCCCCUGGUGGAUCGUGACCUCCGCAAGACUCUGAUGGUCCGCGACAACUUGGCCUUCGGAGGGCCAGAGGUCUGAGCGGACUCGCGCCGGUGGCCGCUGGCGGCCACCGGGCGCCCUCCCCCGCUUCGCCCAGCUUGGACACCCUGGGGCAGAGAAAGGACAACCCCUGGUCCUCCAGGCCAUCCCUCUGUUGCCUGGGCCCUCCCAGCAGAGGCUUCCGGGAGCUCGGGGUGGACCCUGGCUGCACCUGUUGAGAUGGGGCACCUGGGUACCUUAAGGUGUCACUGCUGCUGGCCCAGGGCUUGCUUUCCACAUCAAGCCAGUUCACCCCACACCUGCCCUCCCCAGCUCUGGGCUUAAUCCCCCACUGACCCCCAGUGCCUUUGUGCUGCCCAGCACUCUUGCCCCUCACCUGGGGUCAGGCACCACUGCCCCUGCCUGUCCUGAACCUAGAGAGUCCCACUUCCCCACUGAAUCCCUGGUGACGCUCAGCGGCCCCCGCCACCCAAGGCACCCACCCUGCAGCUUCACAUGGCCGACUUCAAAGCAGACCCAAGGAAAAGGCCCUAUUUGGAGGGCCUUUGGUCUCUGCUUGGUCCAGCCCCGCCCCACCCCUCUGGACUCAGGCUUGGCAUUGAUGAGAGUGUGCGAUGGGGUGGCAGAGGGGUAAGACCACAGAGGAAGGAGGGUGUGUGUAUGUGUGUGUGUGAGAGAGAGAGUGUCUGGGGGAAGAGGAGAAGCAUGUGGGGAGGGGGAGAUGCAGGUCUGUAUGUGUGAGAGGCAGAGUGGGAGGUGGUGGGGAUAGGGCGAGCUUGUGAGUAGCCCCGGGGACCACCUGGAGCACUUCCUACCUCCCUCCUUCUACCAGACUUUUCUAUCUCUCCCCUUCCCCAAGGCCCCUGCCCUCCAGUCCCUCCCUGCCCUGUAUUGCACCUUCAGGUACUGCACACCCCCAGCACCCCCUUCCCACCCUCCUAGCCCCACCAGGGAGCCCUCCUCCUGUGUGAUUGGCAGCCUGUCUCACUCUCCUCCUCUGGAGCUCCCCUCUUAGUGUCUUGCAAUAAUAAAGACUUCAUGACCGUU